GGGAUGCCACCGUGGUGCUGGGCCUGCAAGGGAGCCCCCAGGAGACUCUAUUAAGCUCCCAUUUGACAAGUUUUAAAACUGGCCCAACCCAGGCAUGUGCACAGGAUCAGAAGCCCCAUCUCUCUAAAUUACUAGGUUGAAAUGCCACAUCUUAACGACUCAUGCACCGUCCACACUACUGCUGCGGUAUCUGUGUCCCACCAGGGCUGUGUUUGAUUUUUUAAAUGAACUCGAUUUGUUUUAUUGUUUUGUAAUUUGAACAUGUAGAGAUGGAGGUAAAUAGAAAACCGGCAUCUGUGUAUUACACAUAGAAAGUCACCAUAAAAAUAAACACAAUGAAUACUCUUCAGCAAAGGGAAUGAAAAAUCUACAACUACAUACCACUGAACACAAAUGGAAAUCACCAACAGGUUGAGGGAGAGAAGCUGAGCCCAGGUUUGGAGGGGCAUUGGAAAGGAAAUGACUUUCUCACUGUGCAAUGCCAGGCUUUGUUCAAGCAUUUGGGAAAACAAUGAGGAGGCAGCUUAUUCCCAGCUCCAGAAUACAUCAAACAAUAUUACCUUGAAACAAGCAGGCACCUCUGCAAGAGAGUGAAUUCUGGAUCAAGCAACAGUUUCUUUAUGUCACUGUGGAAGAAAUCCGGACAAAAGUGAGACAAAAGUUUUCAAUCAAACAAUAAAGCAUGGGGGUUGAUCAAUAUACUCUUGAAAUGAAAAAUUCCAGUCAAAUAACAUGUUUAGAAUUUACACAAGACAAGGUACUUUACCAUGACCCUGAAAUUAUAAAAGUUGAAGGGGGCUGAGAGUGUUCUCAAGGCUUGGAGAAGCAGCAGCUUUCAGCCACCACAGGGAGCUGCAGCGCUCUCAUUUCUGGUUUAUAGGCUUACAACAGUUUUUGAAAGUAUUAGCUGCCUAACUACUGGAACAAGAAUGCCAUUGUUGAAAAAAUCAUCAAGAACAGUAAAUACUUUAAAGAAGAUGACAUUCGUAAUUUAUUCUGAAACUAUUCCAAAAAUAAAGUAUCUAAGGAAGAAUGGCUUGUGCUUUUAUAAGUUCGUAUUUCUAAAAUAGUAAAAUACUGAAUAUUCACAAAUCAGAAAGGAAGACAUUCUUUAAAUCUAUAGUUUCCCAUUUAAACAUAAAUGUUAAUCUUUGCAUAGAAAAAACUAAUUAUUUUGAAUUUUCCGUCAAUAAAAUAUCAUGCUUAAUUUGUUAAAUACUAUAAUUAUAUGUAACAGAUUCUAGAUUGCAAAAAUGUGUUACGCUUUCCCCAAGAACUCCUUGUAGACCCAUAUUUUUUCCUUUCUUAUUCCCAGUACAUUCUGUUAAAUGCCCUUGGCUCUAGGGAGCACAUUAAUUUCUUAGCCAGACCUGUGCACACCAGCACCUGACACAGAGAACUCAUUUUAGAAGCGGGAAGCAGACCCAGAAUCACCCUGCGAUUCGUCUCCCGCUGUGAGGCUUCAUGGAGGUUUGUAGUAGAGGCAAGCUGAGCUACAAGGAUGCUCCCACUAUGCAUCUAGUCCUGCCUUGAUGUGAGAUCAGAGCAGCUGGUGCUCAUGAACUUGGUGAAGACAGAUGCUCUGUCACUGUAACUACUGAAUAAGUACUUUUUCUGCAAAACACAGACUCUAACGGGAAGCAAACCUCUAAACAGAAUGGUCUCUUCUUGGGCCACUAAUAUUUUCUAAAACGUAACUUAUUUUAAUUUUGAAUUGCAUUUAAAGUUGAAUUGCAUUUUUCUUUCUCAUAUUCCUAUCUUCUAAUGAAACAUGGAG
rnacentral:lncRNA from 1 species